AUAAUGUAGGUACAGAUAGUACUGCCUCCCUGUCUCUCCCAUAAAUAAUAUAGGUACAGAAAAUACUGCCUCCCUGUCUCUCCCAGUAAAUGAUGUAGAUAUAGAUAGUACUGCCUCCCUGUCUCUCCCAUAAAUAAUAUAGGUACAGAUAGUACUGCCUCCCU